CUCUCGCUGGGUCGCUCGGGUCGGCUUCGGUCGCUACCGCUCCCGCUCUGCCACCCCCGCCAACCGCCGCUCGGGCCUCCGUCGCUGCCGCGUCGCUUUCUCGCUCCUUGGAUCGCACAUCCUCCCAGAUGCAGCGCCGGGACGACCCCGCCGCGCGCAUGAGCCGGUCUUCGGGCCGUAGCGGCUCCAUGGACCCCUCCGGUGCCCACCCCUCGGUGCGUCAGACGCCGUCUCGGCAGCCGCCGCUGCCUCACCGGUCCCGGGGAGGCGGAGGGGGAUCCCGCGGGGGCGCCCGGGCCUCGCCCGCCACGCAGCCGCCACCGCUGCUGCCGCCCUCGGCCACGGGUCCCGACGCGACAGUGGGCGGGCCAGCGCCGACCCCGCUGCUGCCCCCCUCGGCCACAGCCUCGGUCAAGAUGGAGCCAGAGAACAAGUACCUGCCCGAACUCAUGGCCGAGAAGGACUCGCUCGACCCGUCCUUCACUCACGCCAUGCAGCUGCUGACGGCAGAAAUUGAGAAGAUUCAGAAAGGAGACUCAAAAAAGGAUGAUGAGGAGAAUUACUUGGAUUUAUUUUCUCAUAAGAACAUGAAACUGAAAGAGCGAGUGCUGAUACCUGUCAAGCAGUAUCCCAAGUUCAAUUUUGUGGGGAAGAUUCUUGGACCACAAGGGAAUACAAUCAAAAGACUGCAGGAAGAGACUGGUGCAAAGAUCUCUGUAUUGGGAAAGGGCUCAAUGAGAGACAAAGCCAAGGAGGAAGAGCUGCGCAAAGGUGGAGACCCCAAAUAUGCCCACUUGAAUAUGGAUCUGCAUGUCUUCAUUGAAGUCUUUGGACCCCCAUGUGAGGCUUAUGCUCUUAUGGCCCAUGCCAUGGAGGAAGUCAAGAAAUUUCUAGUACCGGAUAUGAUGGAUGAUAUCUGUCAGGAGCAAUUUCUAGAGCUGUCCUACUUGAAUGGAGUACCUGAACCCUCUCGUGGACGUGGGGUGCCAGUGAGAGGCCGGGGAGCUGCACCUCCUCCACCACCUGUUCCCAGGGGCCGUGGUGUUGGACCACCUCGGGGGGCUUUGGUACGUGGUACACCAGUAAGGGGAGCCAUCACCAGAGGUGCCACUGUGACUCGAGGCGUGCCACCCCCACCUACUGUGAGGGGUGCUCCAGCACCAAGAGCACGGACAGCGGGCAUCCAGAGGAUACCUUUGCCUCCACCUCCUGCACCAGAAACAUAUGAAGAAUAUGUAAGAAAUUUGAACAAUGUGCCAUUUCCCAGUACCUAGAAGGCUGCUAAAGGAAGUUGAAUGACAGGGCCUCGGUCCUUUAUGGAUAUGAUGAUACAUACGCAGAACAAAGUUACGAAGGCUACGAAGGCUAUUACAGCCAGAGUCAAGGGGACUCAGAAUAUUAUGACUAUGGACAUGGGGAGGUUCAAGAUUCUUAUGAAGCUUAUGGCCAGGACGACUGGAAUGGGACCAGGCCGUCGCUGAAGGCCCCUCCUGCUAGGCCAGUGAAGGGAGCAUACAGAGAGCACCCAUAUGGACGUUAUUAAAAACAAACAUGAGGGGAAAAUAUCAGUUAUGAGCAAAGUUGUUACUGAUUUCUUGUAUCUCCCAGGAUUCCUGUUGCUUUACCCACAACAGACAAGUAAUUGUCUAAGUGUUUUUCUUCGUGGUCCCCUUCUUCUCCCCACCUUAUUCCAUUCUUAACUCUGCAUUCUGGCUUCUGUAUGUAGUAUUUUAAAAUGAGUUAAAAUAGAUUUAGGAAUAUUGAAUUAAUUUUUUAAGUGUGUAGAUGCUUUUUUCUUUGUUGUUUAAAUAUAAACAGAAGUGUACCUUUUAUAAUAAAAAAAAGAAGUUGAGUAAAAAAAAAAAACACACAAACCUGUUAGUUUCAAAAAUGACAUUGCUUGCUUAAAGGUUCUGAAGUAAAGGCUUGUUAAGUUUCUCUUAGUUUUGAUUUGAGGCAUCCCGUAAAGUUGUAGUUGCAGAAUCCCAAACUAGGCUACAUUUCAAAAUUCAGGGCUGUUUAAGAUUUAAAAUCACAAACAUUAACGGCAGUAGGCACCACCAUGUAAAAGUGAGCUCAGACGUCUCUAAAAAAUGUUUCCUUUAUAAAAGCACAUGGCGGUUGAAUCUUAAGGUUAAAUUUUAAUAUGAAAGAUCCUCAUGAAUUAAAUAGUUGAUGCAAUUUUUAACGUUAAUUGAUAUAAAAAAAAAAACAACAAAAUUAGGCUUGUAAAACUGACUUUUUCAUUACGUGGGUUUUGAAAUCUAGCCCCAGACAUACUGUGUUGAGAGAUACUUAGAGGGAGGGAGUAGGUUUUGAAGAGGUUGAUGGUGGUGGGGAGGGAAGGCCUCCUGAAUUGAGUUUGAUGCAGAGCUUUUUAGCCAUGAAGAAUCUUUCAGUCAUAGUACUAAUAAUUAAAUUUUCAGUAUUUAAAAAGACAAAGUAUUUUGUCCAUUUGAGAUUCUGCACUCCAUGAAAAGUUCACUUGGACGCUGGGGCCAAAAGCUGUUGAUUUUCUUAAGUUGACGGUUGUCAAUAUAUCGAACUGUUCCCAAGUUAGUCAAGUAUGUCUCAACACUAGCAUGAUAUAAAAAGGGACACUGCAGCUGAAUGAAAAAGGAAUCAAAAUCCACUUUGUACAUAAGUUAAAGUCCUAAUUGGAUUUGUACCGUCCUCCCAUUUUGUUCUCGGAAGAUUAAAUGCUACAUGUGUAAGUCUGCCUAAAUAGGUAGCUUAAACUUAUGUCAAAAUGUCUGCAGCAGUUUGUCAAUAAAGUUUAGUCCUUUUUUAAUCAAA